AUGAUGGAGCGUCUCCGUU
rnacentral:misc_RNA from 1 species